rnacentral:rRNA from 1 species
AACCUACGGGAGGCAGCAGUAGGGAAUCUUCCACAAUGGGCGAAAGCCUGAUGGAGCAACGCCGCGUGGGUGAAGAAGGUCUUCGGAUCGUAAAACCCUGUUGUUAGAGAAGAAAGUGCGUGAGAGUAACCGUUCACGUUUCGACGGUAUCUAACCAGAAAGCCACGGCUAACUACGUGCCAGCAGCCGCGGUAAUACGUAGGUGGCAAGCGUUAUCCGGAUUUAUUGGGCGUAAAGCGUUCGUAGGCGGUAUGUCAAGUCUGAUGUUAAAGCCCGGGGCUCAACUCCGGUUCGGCAUUGGAUAC